CAGGAAGUCUGAUGCGAAACAGUC
rnacentral:piRNA from 1 species